rnacentral:rRNA from 1 species
GACGAACGCUGGCGGCGUGCUUAACACAUGCAAGUCGAACGGAAAGGCCCUGCUUUUGUGGGGUGCUCGAGUGGCGAAGGGGUGAGUAACACGUGAGUAACCUGCCCUUGACUUUGGGAUAACUUCAGGAAACUGGGGCUAAUACCGGGUAGGAGCUCCUGCUGCAUGGGGGGGGUUGGAAAGUUUCGGCGGUUGGGGAUGGAUUCGCGGCUUAUCCGCUUGUUUGUGGGGUAGUGGCUUACCAAGGGUUUGACGGGUAGCCGGCCUGAGAGGGUGACCGGCCACAUUGGGACUGAGGUACGGCCCAGAAGCCUACGGGAGGCAGCAGUGGAGAAUAUUGCACAAUGGGCGGAAGCCUGAUGCAGCGACGCCGGGUGCGGGAAGACCGCCUACGGGUUGUGAACCGCUUUCGCAUGUGACGAAGCGUGAGUGACGGUAAUGGGUAAAGAAGCACCGGCUAACUACGUG